AAGGGCCUGAUAUAGGCCAGUUCUGAUGGGCAGCAUGCACUCUCCUCAACCUGACCAAGACUUUUACAGGGCCGCGCUGUGGUCUGUGGCUCCUCCUAUUCAAUCCACCCUCCUUUCCUCUCUCCUUUUCCAGCUGUCAGACCUACAUUACUAUCGGAAGGCUCUCCUACUCCUGCCACCUGGUCCUUUACCAUUUGUGUCCCCAGACAUUGCCAAAUGUCCACUGAGAGACCACAUCCCCUGGAUGAGGACCACGAGUGUAAGGUAG
rnacentral:lncRNA from 12 species